GCCGUUAUGGCGGAAUAGGCAGACGCAAGGGACUUAAAAUCCCUCGAUGGCAACAUCGUGUCGGUUCGACCCCGACUAACGGCACCA
rnacentral:tRNA from 1 species